GAGUUUUGCAAGAGUCGGUGGAAAGCCUGUGGCUGAGACAGCUGAUUUCGGAGUCAUCCUCUCCUAGGUCAAGUGUCUUAGAGCCACCAUCCUGCUGCAGGAAUGUGAACUCUCCCUCUUAUAGUUCAGUGACCCACAGACGAAUACCCCUCAGGUCUCCAGUGGCAGUGGGAAUAGACACCCAGAUUAAAAGCACUGACAGCAUUUCAGAAGUUAACAUGGAUAACUGUUUAUGCCAUGUGCUUUCUGGAUGUCAGCAGGUUUCCCCUUGACACUCAGAACUGUCCCCUAUGCUGGAAAGCUGUACGUCUCACGUCCGGUGGAGGGCGCAUGUGGUCAGAGCCUACCGUCACAAACCUGCACAUGAAAUCCGCACCUGAAUCCGUGCUUGCAGGGAUUUAAAAAUCUGAUAGAAGUUAAACUAUUUAUCCAGAAUAUGUAGUUGCUUUUUAUUUCUUUUACAAGGAUGAUGGCAAAUUCUCUCAAAUGAGAAGAUUUAGGGGAAAAAUUAUGCUUUGAUAAUUAUACACUUUUUGUUUUCCACAAUGGUUAUAAAGAAACAGCUCCCUAUGAAGGUGUAUUCUCGUUAACAGAGACUGGCACAGACUUUGCAAGUUUGGAAAACUCUGGAAUUAAUGUUCCCAUGAGUUACAAUCUUUCAUUAAGUGCACUUGGGUUCCCCACAAA